CACGGGGGUUGCGAGCGUUGUCCGGAAUUACUAGGCGUAAAGGGAAGGCAGGCGGAUCCAUAAGUUUAUCGUUUAAGGCGUCGGCUUAACCGGCGUAGGGCGGUAGAUACUGUGGAUCUGGAAUGCGGUUGGGGAAGACAGAAUUCCUGGUGUAGCGGUGGAAUGCGCAGAGAUCAGGAGGAAUACCGAAGGCGAAGGCAGUCCUCCAAGCCGUUAUUGACGCUCAACUGCGAAGGUGUGGGUAUCAAACAGGAUUAGAUACCCGUGUAGUUCCUGAGCGGG
rnacentral:rRNA from 1 species